rnacentral:snRNA from 1 species
CAGCUCAAGUUUCUCUUCAUUAUCGCAUAAAUCUUUUGCCUUUUACUAAAGAUUUCCGUGGAGGGGAACUUCUUGCGAGUGCCCUGUGUAUUUGGAGGCUCUGAUCACAGCAGAGCU